rnacentral:tRNA from 1 species
CCUGGUGGUCCAGUGGCUUGGACUUCGCACUCCCAAUGCGGGGGGCACAGGUUCAAUUCCCUGUUCGGG